UCUGUCUUAGGCCCUCUGCUAUUUUCAAUAUUCACGCUGCCCCUUGGUAAUAUUAUCAUACAGCAUGAGAUUAGUUUCCAUCGUUUUGCUGAUGAUACUAACCUACUGCAUAUAUUUCAACAAGACCAGAUGAAACUUCUAAAUGAUGAAGCUAACAGUGUAUUAAAGAUGUAAAUGAUUGGAUGACCAAUUAUUUUCCUCUAUUAAGUUCGGGUAAGAGAGCGAUAUUACUUAUUGGACAAAAAACAGUACACAGAAUCUCUUAGAACAUCAUUUGAAUCUAGAAGGUUGUACUGUUACUUCUUCCGCUAUGGUCGAAAACCUUGCUGUUAUAUGUGAAAGUGACGUGUGGCCAAGUAUGGUGUGCCAUACUCGGAAUCUGUGCUCUGCAUUUACCCAUUUAGACACACACCCAGAAGAGUGGGCAGCCAUUUUUUGCUGCGGUGCCCAGGGAGCAGUUAGAGGUUUGGUGCUUUGCUUAAAGGUCUCACCUCAGUCAUGGUAUUGAGGGUGGAAGAGAGCGUUGGUCAUUCAUUGAAAUUUACAUAAUACAAUAUGUUUCCACUGCUGCUGUUAUCGGGCUUUUUCACCUUCACCUUGAGUGUCCCUCAUGAGUAUGUCUUUGUGAAUGAAUCCAAGACUUGGACAGAAGCUCAGAGAUACUGCAGAGAGAAAUACACUGAUCUGGCCACCAUUGAAAAUGUACAACAGACGAUCGAUUUAACAGACACAGUGAAUGAUGAUUCCAUUGAUUUGGCCUGGAUUGGACUCUAUGAUGAUCUGAACAGUUGGAAAUGGACUCUAGAGGACAGUGAUUUUUUUAAGGUUGGAGAGAAAGACUUCAGGAAUUGGUACAACCCAGGACCAGACAAUUAUGGAGGACAAAGUCUGUGUGUGUAUAUGAGCAAUGGGUUAUGGUAUACAUCAUACUGUUUCUAUUAUCGUCCUUUUAUCUGCUAUGAUGGAAGACAGAAUUCCAGUGCUAGUUAUAUGUUUGUUAACUAUCACACAACCUGGACUGAAGCUCAGAGAUACUGCAGAGAACAUCACACAGACCUUGUCAGUAUCACGAAUGAGAGUGAAAACCAGAAGAUCCAGUACCUAUUACAUAAAUAUUAUUAUUAUACAUUUUGGAUUGGACUGUACAGAACCAGAUCUUGGUCAGAUCGGAGCAACUCUUCAUACAGCAACUGGAUGACAGGACAGCCAGAUAAUGCAGGAUCCUGCACUGUAGUCUCAUUCAGUGACUCUGGGAAAUGGACAGAUGAAAACUGCGAUUAUAGAUUUCCUUUCAUCUGCUACAGUGUGUCAUCUUUGACAUUAUCCCGUCAGUAUCACUUUGUGUCUGAGAAUAAGACCUGGACUGAGGCUCAGAGAUACUGCAGACAGAAUUAUACCAAUCUGGCCACCAUUGAUAACAUGGAGGAAAUGAACAGACUGAUUAACACAGUUAAUGGGAGUUACAAUGGUUCAGCCUGGAUUGGACUGUAUGAUGAUGUGAACAGCUGGAGAUGGUCACUGGAAGACAAUGAUUUCUAUCAGGAAGGAGAGAGAGAUUUCAGAAACUGGUAUCAUGAACCGGACAACCAUGGUGGGAAGCAGCUGUGUGUUUACAUGAAUUAUGAUGGGAAAUGGCAUGAUAUCUCAUGUGACAACAUGCUGCCAUUCGUUUGCUAUGGUGAAAGAGGGAAUGCAACACAUAAUUACACAAGAAUCAAUGAUGGGAAAUCCUGGUCAGAGGCUCGUAGAUACUGCAGAGAUCAUUACACAGAUCUCGUCAAUGUGAGAAAUCAGACUGAGAACCAGAGGAUCCUUGAGACAGCAGGUGGAGGAGUCUGGAUCGGACUGUACAGAAACAGAAUUUGGUCAAAUGGUCAGAUUACCAAAUAUGAAGAUUGGAGACCAGCCAUUCCCCAUUCACAACAACAACCAGAUAAUGGCUUAUAUGAUUACGGUCAGUGGGGUUUUCAGCACUGUACUGCUGUAUCAUUCAGCCAUUCAGGUCAAUGGACUGAUGACAACUGCUUCUCCAGCAUGUCUUUCAUCUGCUACAAGAAAACCUGCACACAAUCUUCAUGCACCCGUCAGUACCAUUUUGUGUCUGAGAAUAAGACCUGGACUGAAGCUCAGAGAUACUGCAGACAGAAUUACACUGAUCUGGCCACUGUUGAGAACAUGGGGGAAAUGAACAGACUCUUUAAAACAGUGCGCAGGACUUACGGUAAAGCUUGGAUUGGUCUGUAUGAUGAUAUGAACAGCUGGAGAUGGUCUCUGGAUAAUACAGCAUUAGAGGGAGGUUUUAAAAGCUGGUAUGUUCAGCAACAAGUGAAUUCAGGUGGACAGAGUCUGUGUGUGUACAUGUCAAAUAAUCGAGGAAUAUGGAGUGAAACAUAUUGCUACAAUAAAUUUCCAUUUGUUUGCUAUGAUGGAAGAGUGAAUGCUACUGCAAGUUAUGUGUAUGUUUCUCAAUACAACAACUGGACUGAAGCUCAGAGUUACUGCAGAGAACAUCACACAGACCUCGUCAGUAUCAGGAAUGAGAUUGAAAACUACAGGGUUCAGUCAUUAAUUGCAUAUUAUUCAGUUGCUUGGAUUGGACUGUACAGAACCAGAUCUUGGUCCGAUCAGAGCAACUCUUCAUUCAGUAACUGGAGGACAGGACAGCCAGAUAAUGCUGGAAACAGUGAAUACUGCACUGCAGCGUCAUUCAGUGACUCUGGAAGCUGGACAGAUGAAAACUGCAACAUUGCAUUACCUUUCAUUUGCUACAACGCAUCAUCCCGUCAGUAUCAUUUUGUGAAUGAGUCUAAGAGCUGGACUGAAGCUCAGAGAUACUGCAGACAGAAUUACACUGAUCUGGUCACCAUUGAUAACAUGGAGGAAAUGAACAGACUGAUUAACACAGUUAAUGGGAGUUACAAUGGUUCAGCCUGGAUUGGACUGUAUGAUGAUGUGAACAGCUGGAGAUGGUCACUGGAAGACAAUGAUUUCUAUCAGGAAGGAGAGAGAGAUUUCAGGAAGUGGUAUCAUGAACCGAACAACAGAGCAAAUGAACUCUGUGUUUACAUGGAUCGUAAUGGAAACUGGUUUGAUUAUUCAUGUGACAACUACUACUCAUUUGUUUGCUACGAUGGUGAAGUAAAUUCCUCUCAGAAAUAUGUUCUGGUAACUGAGGGGAGGACCUGGUCUGGAGCUCAGAGCUACUGCAGAGAGAAAUACACAGACUUGGCCAGUGUGAGGAAUGAGACAGAGCGGCAACAGAUACUGAAUGUUACACAUUAUUAUUAUUAUUAUAGUUAUGGGUAUUAUUAUGGGUAUAAUGUAUGGAUUGGUCUGCACAGAAACAGACUGUGGUCAGAUCAGAGCAACUCUUCAUUCACAUAUUGGCUGCCAUACGCUGAAUGGGCUGAUGCACAACCAGAUAAUGGUGCGUAUGUCCGAGCACUGUAUGGAGCUCAACACUGCACAGCUGUGACUUUAAAGAACUUUGGCCAGUGGACAGAUGAGAGCUGCUUUGACAGUUUGCCUUUCUUCUGUUACAGUGGUGAGCAAAUAUACUGUACCUACAGUACUGUAAUGGAAAAAAAAGUAUAAACACCAGGGGAAAACACACAAGGACAUUCAUUGCAAUAAAUUAUUGAUCUGUUAAUAUGAAUGCCAUUGUUAUUUAUGUAACUAAGUAACAUUUAUAUUAAUGCUAGCUCUGUCUUCUGUUUGCUUUCUGGUGGACAUGAUGACCAUCAUAUUGACCCAUCAAUUCAGAUAAGUAUGUGACUGGACUGAGAGUGAAAAUUACAAGUCUGGAGAAUCUGUCAGAGUCUCAGAUUGAAGAGCUGGUUAUUAUACAGCUCCAGGAAGAACUCAUCAGACAAGGACUUCCCAGCAACUUCACCAUGCAUUUAAGAAACUAUCGUAAAACAAGUCCAUGAGAGACAAAGGAGCAUUCCAGGACAUUAAAAAUGAUUUGGGAUUCAUGUUUUAUCAAACUUAUUGAACAUCUGCAUUUUGCAUGUUCUUGCUACUGAUAACUGAAAUUCUACACUGUAAAUGAUAUUACCAUCACAAUGAUCACAUUAUAAGACAUUGUCAUUGCAGACAUUUCACCUAAUUUUUUUCUAAGUAUUGAAUUACACUUUGUGUCAUCACAUCGUAGCUGCAGUAAACUGAUUAACUCUUAGUUAUCAGCUCUUACAGUUAAAAGGGUUUUCUUAAUUUACAGUUGGUUUAUUUUUUUAUUUGUAUUUUUUCUGCAAUGAUUUGUAAAUUCAGCCCAAUACAUUGGGAUAGGCUCCAGUAUAUCCGUGAUUCGACAGGACAAGUGAUUCACAGAAUGGACGGAUGGAUGAUUUGUUGAUCUGUUCAUAAAUUUAUAUGGUAAUCCAAACAUAAUGAUAAAUCAACAUUUUGGCACUUGAGGAAUACAACUGUAUUUGUCUACAGUACAAUGGAAUGUUUCAGUACAACAACAUACAGUGGAACAACCAGAUGAAGACAGACCUCUGACAUGACUUACAGAUCAUAUGACACAUAUUCACAAUAAAUGGGUCUGGAGGAAGUGUUACUGUACAUGUGGGUGGCAGGAAUAAUAUGCACUGUAAACAAUAAAUAGUUGAAAAAAAUAAAAAAAAUUAAGGCAACCUGAUGCAGUAUGACUUUUGAGUUCUCUCAACAAUAGUUUUUUAGUUCUUGUCAGUAAAGAUACUUUGUUUAGCCAACAUAAAUUUGUUUGUUCAUGCAAUGCUGAUUGUCUAACAGAAAAACUCUUGUCACAGUAACUGAAACAACAAUUACUAUCAUUGAGGUAAUUUAUAUUUUUCUGUUUUCUGGAAAAGCCUUAACAUUUCAACAAUAUGAAAUUCUUUGUUCAGAUAACUGACUAGUUGGGACAACACUUGGGGUAAUUUUAUUGGUCUGACAAGGGUUUUUAUGUAGUUUCAAGAAAAUAGCAUUUUUUAGUAUUUGAGACUCAAAACUGGAAAAUAUGCAGCUGCAUUUUUUACAGUGUGCCUCAGUCAUGAGUUUCCUUUAGUUUUUUAGAAAUGUUGCA